UGGGGAAUAUUGGACAAUGGGCGCAAGCCUGAUCCAGCAAUGCCGCGUGUGUGAAGAAGGCCUUCGGGUUGUAAAGCACUUUUAUCGGGAGCGAAAAGCGACGGGUUAAUACCUCGUCGUGCUGACGGUACCCGAUGAAUAAGCACCGGCUAACUUCGUGCCAGCAGCCGCGGUAAUACGAAGGGUGCAAGCGUUAGUCGGAAUUACUGGGCGUAAAGCGUGCGUAGGCGGUUUUUUAAGUCUGCCGUGAAAGCCCCGGGCUCAACCUGGGAAUGGCGGUGGAUACUGGAAAGCUGGAGUGCGGUAGAGGAGGGUGGAAUUCCCGGUGUAGCGGUGAAAUGCGUAGAGAUCGGGAGGAACAUCAGUGGCGAAGGCGGCCCUCUGGACCAGCACUGACGCUGAGGCACGAAAGCGUGGGGAGCAAACAGG
rnacentral:rRNA from 1 species